rnacentral:lncRNA from 1 species
GUUCAAUAACAACAACAACAACUACACAGUAAUAUCCCACAAAGUGGGGUCUGGGGAGAGUAAUAUGUAGACGAGCCUUACCCCUACCGGAAAGAGCAUAGAGACUGUUUCCAAUCGACCAUCGGCUCAGUGAAGGAGAGGAAAAACAAAAAGACAAACAAAAACAAAAGAGCAUUAGUAAGUCCAUCAGAAAUAGCGUAAAUAAUUAUAUAAACAUAAAAACCAUAAAUAAAAUAGCAUGCAAUAAUAUCAUACAGUAACUACCAUAAGGGAGACACAAUCCAAAACACAAAACAUCUAUGGAUAGCCCUGUCAAGUCUCACUCAACUCCGGGUGAGUAGUACGAAAAACUCUAGGUGUCCCUAUCCUACAACCCUGAUACUAGACCUCCAGACUUUCCUAUCAAGGGUCAUAUCCUCAAAAACCUGCAUUCUAGCCAUGUCAUGCCUCUGCCUCGCCGAACGCCGACCAUCGCCAGCCAUUCACAACUCCUCACCGGGGCAUCAUGACUUCUCCUCUGCACAUUUCCGAGCCACCUCAGUCUCGCUUCUCGCAUCUUCUCAUCCACUGGGGCCACCCCCACCUUCUCUCGAAUAACUUCAUUCUUAAUCUUAUCUAACCGGGUGAGCCCGCACAUCCACCUGAGCAUCCUCAUCUCCGCAACCUUCAUUCUCUGAACAUGAGAGUUCUUCACUAGCCAUCACUCCGCCCCAUACAACAUGGCAGGUCUAACCACAACUCAAUAAAAAUUUCCCCUUGAGUUUCUGUGGAACUUUCUUGUCACACAGGACUCCUGAUGCAAGCCUCCACUUUGACCACCCCGUUCCUAUACCAUGAGUGACGUCCCCGUCUGAAUCACCGACGAUAUCUGACACCGUCCCUCUUGGCGAUGACCUGAGAUCCAAGCGAUGACCCAAGAUAUGAAGACAUACCAAUGUGCAAAUUAAAAACAUCAAAUUAAUCAGAGCAUCGGACACUUAAUGGUCUCACAAAGCUUCCUUCAAGCAAGAGGAAGGUUUCCAUAUCUCCUCUAUUAGCUCUAAGAAAAGAAUUACUUUUCUAGUAGUAGAGAUUUAGAAAAAUAAAGCCUUGUUCUUGGAAAUGCAAUUUUAGCUUUUGAAGAAUAAAACUAUCAAGUCUAGGUAAACAUAAACUCAAUGGGGCCAUUUGCGUCUCAUAGAUGAAUUUCCAGAUCUUCACUACAAAUCUAGAAGCUACCAUGACUCAGU